AGCGAACGCUGGCGGCAGGCUUAACACAUGCAAGUCGAGCGGGCACUUCGGUGUCAGCGGCAGACGGGUGAGUAACACGUGGGAACGUACCCUUUGGUUCGGAAUAACGCUGGGAAACUAGCGCUAAUACCGGAUACGCCCUUUUGGGGAAAGGCUUGCUGCCGAAGGAUCGGCCCGCGUCUGAUUAGCUAGUUGGUGGGGUAAUGGCCUACCAAGGCGACGAUCAGUAGCUGGUCUGAGAGGAUGAUCAGCCACACUGGGACUGAGACACGGCCCAGACUCCUACGGGAGGCAGCAGUGGGGAAUAUUGGACAAUGGGCGCAAGCCUGAUCCAGCCAUGCCGCGUGAGUGAUGAAGGCCUUAGGGUUGUAAAGCUCUUUUGUCCGGGACGAUAAUGAGGUACCGGAAGAAUAAGCCCCGGCUAACUUCGUG
rnacentral:rRNA from 1 species